GAUGAACGCUGGCGGCGUGCCUAAUACAUGCAAGUCGAGCGAACGGACGAGAAGCUUGCUUCUCUGAUGUUAGCGGCGGACGGGUGAGUAACACGUGGAUAACCUACCUAUAAGACUGGGAUAACUUCGGGAAACCGGAGCUAAUACCGGAUGAUAUUUUGAACCGCAUGGUUCAAAAGUGAAAGACGGUCUUGCUGUCACUUAUAGAUGGAUCCGCGCUGCAUUAGCUAGUUGGUAAGGUAACGGCUUACCAAGGCAACGAUGCAUAGCCGACCUGAGAGGGUGGUCGGCCACACUGGAACUGAGACACAGUCCAGACUCCUGCGGGAGGCAGCAGUAGGGAAUCUUCCGCAAUGGGCGAGAGCCUGACGGAGCAACGCCGCGUGAGUGAUGAAGGUCUUCGGAUCGUAAAACUCUGUUAUUAGGGGAGAACAUAUGUGUAAGUAACUGUGCACAUCUUGACGGUACCUAAUCAGAAAGCCACGGCUAACUACGUG
rnacentral:rRNA from 1 species